rnacentral:lncRNA from 1 species
GAUAAUAAUAGUGCCUGCCUCCUACAAUGGUUGUGAGGAUUCAAGGAGAUGAUACCCCACUGGGAGUGGAAUCUAGUAUGUAGUAAGUGCUCAGUAAAUGUUGGCCAUGUGUGUUUUUGACCUUUUAAGAAUUUAUUUUAUUUUAGUUUUUUAAUUAUGAUAAGAAAUACGUAACAUCAAAUUUACUCCCUUGACCAUUUUUUUAAGUGUACAGUUCAGUGGUGUUAACUCUAUUUACAUAGUUGUGUAACAGGUUUCUGGAACUUUUUCAUCUUGCAAAACGGAAAUACUCCACUGGGGUAGGUGAUUAGGCUAUUCUAUUUCCUGUUGUAUCACAGGUGCCAAGAGCAGUGCCUAGCUCAGAAGUUAAUAUUUGCCAAGUGAAUGGGUGGUAAACCCAUUUUUUUUUUGUCUUUUUUUUUUGCCAUUUCUUGGGCCGCUGCCGUGGCAUAUGGCGGUUCCCAGGCUAGGAGUCAAAUCGGAGCUGUAGCCACCAGCCUAUGCCAGAGCCAUAGCAACUCGGGAUCCGAGCCUCGUCUGCAACCUUCACCACAGCUCACGGCAACGCCAGAUCAUUAACCCACUGAGCAAGGGCAGGGACCGAACCCGCAACCUCAUGGUUUCUAGUCGGAUUCGUUAACCACUGCGCCACAACGGGAACUCCAGUAAACCCAUUUUUAUCAGUAAUCUUAAAUACAUGUGGAAAACUGACUGCCUUCAUAAGGAAGUGAUUUUUACAACAAAUAACUAUCUCUUAAUUAUUUAUAAAUGCUGAUUUGGGUGGGUCAGCUUUUCUUUCCUCCUUCCUUCCUCCCUCUCUUCCUUCCUUCAUUCUCUCCUUUCUUCCUUCUUUCUUUUUUUUCCUGACCACACUCGUGGCCUAUGGACGUUCCCAGCCAGGGAUCGAAUCCAGCCUCAGCUGUGACCUGUGCUGGAUCCUUUUUAACCCACUGCUCUGGACUGCGAUAGAACCCACACCUGUGGAGUGACCCGAACCACUGCAGUCAGAUUCUUAACCCACCGUGCCACAGCGGGAACUCCAGGUUAGCUUUUCUUAAACUGUAAAAAAGUAGUUUACUGGGUGGAGACAUGGCAAAAGAAAAGAGGUUAUGUUAAAUAAUUUGCUUAAAAUUUGAGCAAGAUUGACUUUAAGUUCAAGCUUUUUCUUUUUUUUUUUAAAUAUGUACUUUCAUUCAGAUCUGUCCAUCAGACCUACUUUUCCUUAGGCAUAUGUGAAUCAUCUUGUUCUUUCUUUUAGAAUCAAAAGUUCAGGCCUUGAUCAGUAUUUACCAAAACUGGUGGAACACUCCCUUUCCACUGAGCACAUCUUGCUUCACCUUUUUUUUUUUUUUUUGCAUCUUUUAAAAGAAUGUCAGCUGAACAUCCUCUAGAAAUGGCCCAAACUCGGUGAGUGGGAGGAAAGGAAGGAAGAACAUGUCUCUCACUUAAAACUUACCACCUAUGGAAUAAAUUAUAGUCUUAUUCUGUGGGCUUGCCCUUAAAUUAUCUACUCUGCUGGGAAAAGAGUUAAUUCUUGAUAGAGUUGAUUUGCUUUGGGGGUAAACUAGUUAGUGUUCCUUUUUAUUGCCCAACCUUAGAUUUUGCUUUUAUAACCUAUUAAAAUGUUGUUUGGUAUUUAAGUAUUACUCUUAGGUAUAGUAGGCACAAACUAUGGCUUACACAGAGGUUCAGUGCCUCCUUCCAGGAAGCCAGGACCUAAAUUGCCACAGACUUUGCAGUCCCAGUAGGACAAUAAUAGGGAGGCUUGUUACCUGCCCAGGUUUUCGCUGGGGCCCAGCACAGCACAGCACCUGACUGUAACCAAAGCAAGAGUGCAUCUUUCCUUUCAGCUGCUACUUGGCACACCCUGUCUCUGUUCCCAUGGCAGAGAUGGUCGCCCAUCUUCCAAAAGGUGGCCUCUUGAGUCAUUUCCAUUAUGACUCUGACUUGUCUUCUGAAAAGUGACACAGGAAAGUGCUCUUACGUAGUCACUCUUUCCCAUGCCUCUGAAUCAGAGACCAUAAACCUUCUGAAAGAUCUCCAUUGUUUCUCUGAGCUAUUAAAACUUUUUGUAUUUGGGAGCUCCUGUUGUAGCUCAGCAGUAACGAACCUGACUGGUAUCCAUGAGGACGUGGGUUCGAUCCCUGGCCUCGCUCACUGGGUUAAGGAUAUGGCGUUGUUGUGAGCUGUGGUGUAAGUUGAAGAUGCGUCUCAGAUCCCGCAUUGUUGUGGCUGUGGUGUGGGCUGGCAGCUGCAGCUCUGAUUUGACCCCAUAGCCUGGGAACUUCCAUAUGCCUCAGG